rnacentral:rRNA from 1 species
GCAUAUUACUAAGGGGAGGAAAAGAAACUAACAAGGAUUCCGUCAGUAGCGGCGAGCGAACACGGAAGAGCCCAGCGCUGAAUCCCCAGGGGCUUCCGCCCCUGCGGGAAAUGUAGCGUUAGGGAGCGUCCGCCUACUCGGGCGCGGCUAAAUGUGAGUCCAAGUCUCCCUUGAACGGUGCCAUAAUCCACAGAGGGUGCCAGGCCCGUACGACCACAGCCGCGUUCGAGUGGACGUCUCCUAGGAGUCGGUCUGUUUGAGAACGCAGACCUAAGCGGGUGGUGAACUCCAUCUAAGGCUAAAUACGACCACGAGACCGAUAGCGCACAAGUACCGUGAGGGAAAGGUGAAAAGAACUUUGAAGAGAGAGUUCAAGAGUACGUGAAACUGGAGAGGUGAAAACGGAAGUGGCUCGAAAUUCCGAACGGUGGUGUUCAGCCUCGCCGUCGGCGGGCCCCCCGCUCAUUCGGGAUCAAGGGACUGCGGUCCGACGCGACGUCGCUCCUCGUGGGCGGCCCGUGUCGCCCGGUCCCCCCUGGGCGGGUGCGGUUCUCUCGCCGGCCGGCGUGGGUGCACUCACUGCCGUAGUAGGAUGUCGCGACUCGUUGGGUGUCGGUCGCGAGGCCGGUUGGGGUUAGCCCGGUGUCCGUGUGACGUGCGCCUCUGAGGAGAAAUGCACGCGGUGCGGCCCGGACCCAUUUGCCGUGUCCUCUCCGUCUGCCCGGCGGUAGCGAAAGGGAGCCGGCGCUAGCGGCCCCGCUGUCACGGCCUCUUAGCCCCGGGGAACGGAUUCACGUCCUUCCCCUAGCGGCGGAGGUAGGCGCGGGUCGUCGGUAGUCGUCGGCUGUCUGCGACAUUGCCUGAUUCGGGUCCAUUUCCGACCCGUCUUGAAACACGGACCAAGGAGCGUAACACAUGCGCGAGUCGAAGGGCGAUACGAAACCCGGAGGCGAAGCGAAAGCGUAAGGGACGAUGGCUGCAUUGCGGUGCGCGGUCGCUCGUUCGGGAUUCGCGUCCCGUCGGGCCUCUCGCGUUUUCACCAGCUGGCCCGCAGUCCCGGGGCACCUCAAGCGGCACUGGGCCUCCUUCGCGGGGGGUCCUGUGUCGAGGCGCACCUGUGAGCGUAUGUGUUGUUACCCGAAAGAUGGUGAACUAUGCCUGGCCAGGACGAAGCCAGGGGAAACCCUGGUGGAAGUCCGUAGCGAUUCUGACGUGCAAAUCGAUCGUCGGAGCUGGGUAUAGGGGCGAAAGACUAAUCGAACCAUCUAGUAGCUGGUUCCCUCCGAAGUUUCCCUCAGGAUAGCUGGCGCUCGGAUGAGUUUCAUCCGGUAAAGCGAAUGAUUAGAGGCCUUGGGGCCGAAACGACCUCAACCUAUUCUCAAACUUUAAAUGGGUGAGACCCCCGGCUUGCUUGAUUCCGGGCGCGUUUCCGCGAUUCCCGCGUCACACGUUCCGUUCCCUCUCCUCGUGGGGGGGUCGGGCGGUCGUGCCGGGCCGGGCGCGUCCGACUGCUUGUUGAAGCCGGGGCUCACGAAUCGAGAGUGCCAAGUGGGCCAAUUUUGGUAAGCAGAACUGGCGCUGUGGGAUGAACCAAACGCAGAGUUAAAGCGCCUAAAUCGACGCUCAUGGGAUACCAUGAAAGGUGUUGGUUGCUUAAGACAGCAGGACGGUGGCCAUGGAAGUCGGAAUCCGCUAAGGAGUGUGUAACAACUCACCUGCCGAAGCAACUAGCCCUUAAAAUGGAUGGCGCUAAAGCGUCGUGCUUAUACUCUGCCGCCGGUCGGCAAAAGUGGCCGGUAAGGCGGACGGUCUCCCCCGGAAGGGGACAGAAACCGGCCCCGAGCCUUGAAGCCCCGGUGAGUAGGAGGGUCGCUCGGGUGUGCGCAGAAGGGUCUGGGCGUGAGCCUGCCUGGAGCCGCCCGAGGUGCAGAUCUUGGUGGUAGUAGCAAAUACUCCAGAGAGGGCCCUGGAGGGCUGAUGCGGAGAAGGGUUCCGUGUGAACAGCUGUUGCACACGGGUCAGUCGAUCCUAAGCCCUAGGAGAAAUCCUACGUGCGAUGUGCGGGUGUAUUUAUAAAAAAUUUUUAUAUCUAUCUCCCGUCGCCGGGCGAAAGGGAAUCAGGUUCCUAUUCCUGAACCCAGAUGCGGUACCGUUCUACCGGGCUUGUUCCGAAGCGUGUCUUCCCCGCCGGCCUUCUUUGUAAGCGUCGCGCGUGGGUAAGGUGCGUCUGAGGGCGAACUCGUCGGGGUAACCCGAACAGCCACGGAGAAGCCGGCAGGAGCCCCCGGGAGAGUUGUCUUUUCUGUAUUACCGUGCAAGUUCCCUGGAAUUCCAUUGCGGAGAGAGAGGGAAUAGCGCGGGAAGAGCACCGCACUUGCGGCGGUGUCGGGGGUGGCCUCUCGGACCAUGAAAAUCCGUGUGAGGGCUACGGAGAACAACCGAUCUGGCUCGUACCCAUAUCCGCAGCCGGUCUC